CCUUUUGAGCUUUCGUCAAGCGGAAGAAAUCACUAUAUCAAUGGAACCAAAAUUUGUCCGGUACAAUCUUCAUAGCACUCAACCGAAAUCACACAAGAUUUCUUCCAAAAAUAAGCCUCACAUACUGUACAACAUUCACUCAAGAUAGUUUCUACAUAAGCCUUUCUCAUUCAACAAUGGCAUUCACUCAAGAAUAGCACCAAUACACCUUGUUAAAUCACUCAAGAUUAACUAUACAAUGCUGGAUUAAUUUCCCAUCAAUAGGCUAAAUUUUAGGAGUGCAAAAUCGGAAGACAAAGGACCACUGAGAGAGAGAGAGAGACAGUUUGAGAGGCGAAAGAGUGAAAAAAAUGAAUUCUGUUGUUUCGUCCAAGCACUAAUGCCAAUUAAUAUAGAAACAUCUAGAAUUCUCCAUCCAAUGGUGCAUAAUUGGACACUUGGCAAAAUCUGGGCAGCAUCCAUUAAAACCAACAAAAACGUGUUUUAGCAGCUGGUUUUUGGCAAAGUAAAACAGCAACAUUUAUCAAUUUGGAUCACCCGGCCCACUGACUUAAUAGCAGGUUCACUCCGGCUCAUCAUUGUGCCACUUUCUCUACAUUCUCCACCUUGGUACAACGAUUCCAAUAUCAUUUAUAGUGAUCUCUCCAAACAUGACAUCAUGUGCUCUUAUUCCCUGAUACACAAAUCAGCAAACAUUAAUAUUCAGCUGUUUUAAAUAGUCCAAAAACUUGUUUAAAGGCAGCACUUUAGCUCCAACAUCAACAGGGUUAAAAUGGGUAGAAAUCUUUUCAAGUUUAACAACGCCUUGAGAAAUUAGAUCUCUAAUAAAAUGAAAUUUCACAUCAACAUGUUUAGAUUUAUUAUGUAGCACAGGAUUUCUACUCAAAUAUAUAGCAGAUUGGCUAUCAGAAUGUAAGACAACAUCAUUUAUGAAACCAAAUACAUUUAGAAGUCCUUUUAGCCAAAUUACCUCUUUAAUUGCAUCAGUUGCAACUGUAUAUUCUGCUUCAGUUGAAGACAAUGCAACAAUCUUUUGUAAUUGUGAUUUCCAACUUAUACAGGAAUUACAUAAAGUGUAUACAUAGGCAGAAGUCGAUUUUCUGUUAUCCCUAUCACAUGCAUAAUCAGAAUCAGUGAAACCCCUCAAGAUAACACCCUCAAAUUGUUUUCUAUACUCAAUUCCUAGGUCACAAGUUCCAUUAAUAUAUCUUAGAAGCCACUUCAUCGCUUCCAAAUGAACCUCACCAGGAUUAGACAUGUAUCUACUCAAUACACUUAUUGCAAAUGCCAAAUCAGGUCUAGAACAAAUCAUUAGAUACAUAACUGACCCCACAACAUUAGAAUAUGGCACUCUAGCCAUUCUUUUAAACUCUUCUUCAGUUUUGGGACAUUGAUCAUUAGAUAAUUUGAAGUGAUUAGCUAAAGGUAGACUCACACUUUUAGCAUCGGACAUUACAAAUCUUUUAAGUAUUUUCAAAGAAUAAGAUUUUUGAUUUAGGCUUAGUGUGCCCUCUCUUCUAUUUCUUUUAAUUUCGAUACCCAAAACUUUUCUAACAGGACCUAAAUCCUUCAUUUCAAAUUCAGAUUUAAUUUGUCUUUAAUUGACUCUAUUUCCUUUAUGUCAUGACUUGCUAAAAGCAUGUCAUCCACAUAAAGUAGAAGAUAGAGUGAAUUCUCACCUCCGUUUCCUUUACAAUAAAGACAAGUAUCGAAAUUAUUUCUUUUAAAACCAAGUCCAAGUACAAAAGUGUCAAAUCUCUUGUACCAUUGUCUUGGAGCUUGUUUUAAACCAUAAAGUGACUUUUUAAGAAGGCAUACUAAGUCUGAAUUUUUAUUCACUUCAGAGCCUUUAGGUUGUUCCAUAAAAAUGGUUUUUUCAAGAUCUCCAUUUAAAAACGCAAUUUUUAAAUCUAAUUGAUCCAAUUCCCAAUUAAAUUGAGCUGCAAGGGCAAGUAUGACUCUAACAGUUGUAAAUUUUACAAUGGGGAAAAAUAUUUCAUUAAAGUCUAUCCCCUCCUUUUGAGCAAAACCUUUAGCCACAAGUCUUACCUUGUAUCUAAUGUCAUUCUCAUCUUUUUCACCUCUUUUGAUCUUAUAAAUCCACUUGCAAUCUAUAACUCUCUUUUCUUUAGGUCUUUUAACCAAGGUCCAAGUUUUAUUCUUUCUCAAUGAUUCCAUCUCAUCAUGCAUUGCUUCUAGCCAAUACUUAGAGUCCUUACUACUUAUAGCACCUAUAUAGGACUUAGGUUUAUUCUCAAUGAACCCUUGAACAGUGAGAAGUGAUAUCUCAUCAUCAAAUCUCACAGGUAUUCUUAUUUUUCUUAUUUCUCUAUCUCUAGUAAGUUGAUAAUCAUUUGACAGUUGAUUAACCUCAAAAUCAGAUUCAUUUUGAUCAGUUUCUUCAUCAUUUUGAGCCUCAAUUUCACUAUUUUCAAUCUAAUCAGGUUGUAGAUUAUCAUUAUUAACUUGCUCCACCUUAAUUUCAGUUUCCCUUCCUUCAUUUUCAGUCUGACCAGACUCAUUAGUGUUAUUUUCAGAUUUCAAACGAGGCAGAUCAGAUUCAUUAAACACCACAUUUCUACUUAUAAUGAUCUUAUAACCUUUGAUCUCUCUUACCCAAAGUCUAUACCCCUUCACCAUAGCCCAAAAAAACACGCUUAAGCGCCCUAGGUUCCAGUUUCCCUUCAGAUUGAUGUUCAAAUGCUGCACACCCAAAUAUUUUUAGAUUACUCAAAUCUACAAGUUUUCCUAUCGAAACUUCUUCAGGGGAUUUACAUUGCAUAACACUAGCGGGGCUUCUAUUUAUGAGAUAACUAAUAGUUUUUGUAGCUUCCCCCAAAAUAACUUGGGAAGACGAGAACCUAAUAACAUGCAUCUAACUCUCUCAAUAAUAGUUCGGUUCAUUCUUUCAACCAAGCCAUUUUGUUGUGGUGUGAGUGAUUGCUCUGUGUCUCAAAAUGCCCUACAAUUUGCACUAUUCAUCAAAUUUAUAAUUGCAAAAUUCAAGCCCAUUAUCAGUCCUCAACACUUUAAUCUUUUUAUUUGUUUGAUUCUCAAUCAAUAUUUUCCAUUCUUUAAAAGCAUUAAAAGUGUCGGACUUAUGUUUAAGCUAAAAGAGCCAGUUUUUCCUAGAAAAAUCAUCUAUGAUUAAAAGGAAAAUUUUGAAACCAGUAUGUGUGGGCACAGAAGCUGGUCCCCAAAGAUCAGCAUGUAAAUAUUCAAGAAUAGACACAGAUUUAUACAUCCCAAGCAGAAAUGGUAAUCUAUUUUGCUUUCCUAGUAUGCAAUGAUCACAAAAACUGAGUUUCUCAAUCAUAUCUUUACCAAAGGCACCUUGUUUUUUCAAAAUCUGGAGACCUUUGUCGCUAAUAUGGUCCAAUCUUUUAUGCCAUAAUUGUGACUUAUCACUGGGAGCAGAAAUUGCUGCUGAUGUAGAGUCAAAAAAGUUUUGAGUAUGUAAAAUGUAAAGCCCAUGUCUCUUGGGGGAUUCGGCAACAAGUUGAGAGCCCCUCAAGAUCUUAAUGUAUCCCUUGUUAGUCACAAUAUUGUAGUUCAGGUCAUCUAGGACACAUAAGGAUAUCAAAUUUCUUUGUAGGUCAGGAACAUACCUGGUCUUCUCUAAGAUCAAUUCAUUAUUCCCAUCCAACCUUAAGGUGAUUGUUCCUAUUCCUUUUACCUGACAUGACAUGUUAUUACCCAUUAACACUUGGCCUCCAUUUACAUUUUCAAACUCACUAAACCAUUCUCUUUUAGGACACAUGUGAAAUGUGCAACCGGACUCAAGGAUCCACUCCUGACUAGGUGGACUAUGUACAACAACAUAGACCUCAUCUAGGUUGGACUCAUUAUUAUAGGCUAAGGCAGCACCACCAUCAUUAUUAGACUUAUUCCUCAAAUCAUUAAGUCUCUUACGACAAUCUUUGAUAAAAUGACCUUCACCUAGACAGUAAAAAUACUUUUUACCCUUAGUCUUGGUUUUCAUUUUAUCUUUAAGGUUUAGCUUCUUUUUGUGUCCAGGUUGCUUAUUGAAAUUGAUAAUUUUUGGAUUUGGGUUUGGUUUGGACUUAACCAUCAAAUUUUCACCACUAAUAGAUUCUCUCUUCUCAGAUUUUAACUCUAACUCUUUGUUUCUCAAUGCAUUUAUUAUCAUAUCAGUAGUUAGAGUUUCCCUACCAUAUUCAAUAGCAUUUUUGACAUCUUUGUAUUUAUCACUUAGUGAAUCUAACAAAACCACAACCAGCUGUUCUUUUGAGAAUUUCUCAUCACGGUCAACUAGGUCAUGGGAUAAUCUAUUGAAUUUAUCAAUGUUAGCAUCAAGAUCAAGAGAUGGGUCCAAUUUGAAACCAAAAAAUUGUUUUAGAAAAUACACUUUAUUAGGCAUGGUUUUAUUUAAAUAAGUAUCUUCCAAUUUUUUCCAUAACUCAGUAGCAGUUUUUGUCUCACCAUUUUUUCUCAAAACAUUGUCAGACAAAUGUAAGAAUAUAGAACUUCAUGCAGUUUCAUCAAGUUCAGUUUUCUUAUUUUCUUCCAUGUCAUUAGGCCAUGACUCAUCAAUGACUUUUGCACAUUUUUGUUAAAGUAAAAGGGCUCGCAUUUUCUGGCGCCAGAGACUAAAGUCUCAUUUACCAUUAAAAAUCUCCAAAUCAACUUUAGUUGACAUAAUCAAAACACAAUUUGAUUAAAAACAGUGCAGGCAGAUCACAUACAAAGUCAACAGUAUAUACUAGCAGGAACUCAAAUGUCAUACACCAUAAUCAAAUUUAAAGUGCACAGUUAACAAGUGAGUUAUACAGUAAAUGUUAUGCAGUAGAAUCUCAUGAGUUCAUUCACCACAGUAUAGGCAGUUUACUCAAAAAUAGCAGAAUUGUCAAGUCACAGUAACUCAAAAAUAUGGAACGAACUCACCAAAAUCCCUUAUUAGGGUUUCAAGAAACAAACGAGAUCUACUGAACCAGUGCAAGAACUUUCAGAUCUACCAACAUCGGUGCCAAGAACCACCGUCAACUUGCUUUGAUACCACUGUUAUAAGAAGUUCAAGAAAAUUAGCCCACUUAUACUUAACAAAUAUGCAAAAUAAUAAACAAGAAAUGAAAGAAACAUAAAAAGAAAAUGCAAAAAACACAAUAUUUUCACCCUAAGGCAGGAGGUUUGGAACUUUGUUCCUAAUCCCCUUUUGAACUUCCGUCAAAUGGAAGAAAUCAUUAUAUCAAUGGAACCAAAAUCUGUCCGGUACAAUCUUCAUAGCACUCAGUCGAAAUCACACAAGAUUUCUCCCAAAAAUAAGCCUCACAUACUGUACAACAUUCACUCAAGAUAGUUUCUAUAUAAGCCUUUCUCAUUCGAAAAUGACAUUCACUCAAGAAUAGCACCAAUACACCUUGUUAAAUUACUCAAGAUUAACUAUACAAGGCUGGAUUAAUUUCCCAUCAACAGGCUAAAUUUUUGGAGUGCAAAACCAGAAGACAAAGGACCACUGAGAGAGAGAGAGAGUUUGAGAGACGAAAGAGUGAAAAAAAUGAAUUAUGUUGUUUCGUCCAAGCACUAAUGCCAAUUAAUAUAGAAGCAUCUAGAAUUCUCCAUCCAAUGGUGCAUAAUUGGACACUUGGCAAAAUCUGGGCAGCAUCCAUUAAAACCAACAGAAACGUGUUUCAGCAGCAGGUUUUUGGCAAAGUGAAACAACAACAUUUAUCAAUUUGGAUCACCCGGCCCACUGACUUAAUAGCAG
rnacentral:lncRNA from 1 species